rnacentral:tRNA from 1 species
GCCUAGUUAGCUUAGUUGGUAGUGUAAGCGCUAGGCCGCGGGUUCGAUUCCCGCCCGGGGCG